ACUGCGCUACUAUUGGUGGAAUCAAUGCCCUUCUGCUGUGCAGAGUUUGCACUGUGCAACAUUUGUAUCCAAGUUCUUUGUUAAUAGGGUUCAUCAUUGGAGUUGAAAAGUAUAUCAACAUGUCCAAACCCAAGCUACAUUAUUUUAAUGGAAGAGGGAAAAUGGAGUCUAUUCGCUGGCUUUUGGCAGCUGCCGGCGUUGAGUUUGAGGAAGAAUACCUUGAGACCAGGGAACAGUAUGAAAAACUACUGAAAGAUGGAGCUCUCUUAUAUGAACAGGUACCUAUGGUUGAAAUUGAUGGAAUGAAAUUGGUCCAGACCAAUGCUAUUAUGAACUACAUAGCGGCAAAAUACAAUCUUUAUGGAAAAGAUAUCCAGGAAAGAGCACUAAUUGACAUGUAUGCAGAGGGAGCCAGAGAUUUAAUGAUUCUUGUGAUGCGUCAUGUAUUCCUUCCUUCUGCAGAAAAGGACGGAAAUCUUAUACUGAUAAUCAACAAGGCCAAAAAUAGAUAUUUUCCAGCAUUUGAGAAGAUCCUAAGUCAACAAAAUGGAUAUUUGGUUGGUGACCAGCUCAGUGUUGCUGACCUUAACUUGCUAGAGGUUAUCUUGAUGAUUGAAGAAAAUGCUCCCCUCAUUCUGGCUGACUACCCUCAGCUGCAGAGAUUCAAGUUGAAAAUCAGCAGUAUCCCAAGAAUUCAAAAGUUCCUAAAACCUGGCAGUCCCAGAAAGCCACCACCGGACGAUCAGUACAUUCAGACUAAAUCUGUGGAUUUUUAUUGAUUGGGAGGAGGUCAUCAGAAGAAAAAAGGUUGAGAACCCCUGCUCUUGUAAAUUGAUCAUGGCAUUUCCCACCAGAGAAACAAAAGAAAAGAAAAUCCGUGGGAAGUGCAAGAUAGCAGCUUGGCAACAAUUUGUCUAUCCUGAGGAACGCAGCACUUGUCAGCUCAGUGGAAUCGGUGUCACCAUAUUUUUAACAUAACUAAUGAGGUAAUUCAGUUUGAACGUGUGGCAAUCCUCAGGAAAGAAUGAUUAGAAUGUAUUUUAUCUUCAUCACAUUCCCAGACUGUGCAUCUGUUAGUGUUUGCUCUAACAUGAUGCAGCUGUCAGCUCACUUGCUGUUCAGAAAGAUAUACAGUAUGAGCAUGGUAGAAUCACUGCAAGGUUUAAUUCCUGUUUAAUAAUUGCUGCCUUCUUCAUGUAAUGAUCUCUCAGUAUGCUGCAUUCUCCACUUAAUGUUAUCUGUGCAUGCCAAUUCUCACAAAUCUGGAUGGUUUUGUGUACAAUAAUUUCCUAUCAUUAUACCUUUUAAAUAGAUGAUCUUAUCCUGCAUGUUGUUUUAUAUUUUCUGAUUGCUGGGCAUUCUGGCUGCAAGACAUUUAAACUCACUAUGUUCUAUCCUGUGUGGUGUUAUUAGCAUAAUUUCAUUUCAUUGUGGUCUGUCCAAGAAUUAUCCCAGAUU